UGGGGAAUAUUGCACAAUGGGCGAAAGCCUGAUGCAGCGACGCCGCGUGAGGGAUGACGGCCUUCGGGUUGUAAACCUCUUUCAGCAGGGAAGAAGCGAAAGUGACGGUACCUGCAGAAGAAGCGCCGGCUAACUACGUGCCAGCAGCCGCGGUAAUACGUAGGGCGCAAGCGUUGUCCGGAAUUAUUGGGCGUAAAGAGCUCGUAGGCGGUUAGUCGCGUCUGCUGUGAAAACUCGAGGCUCAACCUCGGGCUUGCAGUGGGUACGGGCUGACUAAAGUGCGGUAGGGGUGACUGGAAUUCCUGGUGUAGCGGUGGAAUGCGCAGAUAUCAGGAGGAACACCGAUGGCGAAGGCAGGUCACUGGGCCGCAACUGACGCUGAGGAGCGAAAGCAUGGGGAGCGAACAGGAUUAGAUACCCUGGUAGUCCAUGCCGUAAACGUUGGGCACUAGGUGUGGGGUCCAUUCCACGGAUUCCGUGCCGCAGCAAACGCAUUAAGUGCCCCGCCUGGGGAGUACGGCCGCAAGGCUAAAACUCAAAGGAAUUGAC
rnacentral:rRNA from 1 species